CUGUUCCAAGCUCACUUCAGCAACACACACACUAAGAUUGGAACAAUACACAGAAAACAUGGCCCCUGUGCACAAGUGACAUGCAAAUUGUGGGGUAUUCCAUUUUUUC
ensembl:snRNA U6 U6 spliceosomal RNA